GGUUAAAUAGCUUAUUGUUAAGCAUGUAUUUUGAAAAUACAAGAAAGGGGUUAAAUCCCUCUAUUAACUU
rnacentral:tRNA from 1 species